AGUGGCAGACGGGUGAGUAACGCGUGGGAACGUACCUUUUGGUUCGGAACAACUGAGGGAAACUUCAGCUAAUACCGGAUAAGCCCUUACGGGGAAAGAUUUAUCGCCGAAAGAUCGGCCCGCGUCUGAUUAGCUAGUUGGUGAGGUAAUGGCUCACCAAGGCGACGAUCAGUAGCUGGUCUGAGAGGAUGAUCAGCCACAUUGGGACUGAGACACGGCCCAAACUCCUACGGGAGGCAGCAGUGGGGAAUAUUGGACAAUGGGGGCAACCCUGAUCCAGCCAUGCCGCGUGAGUGAUGAAGGCCCUAGGGUUGUAAAGCUCUUUUGUGCGGGAAGAUAAUGACGGUACCGCAAGAAUAAGCCCCGGCUAACUUCGUGCCAGCAGCCGCGGUAAUACGAAGGGGGCUAGCGUUGCUCGGAAUCACUGGGCGUAAAGGGUGCGUAGGCGGGUUUCUAAGUCAGAGGUGAAAGCCUGGAGCUCAACUCCAGAACUGCCUUUGAUACUGGAAGUCUUGAGUAUGGCAGAGGUGAGUGGAACUGCGAGUGUAGAGGUGAAAUUCGUAGAUAUUCGCAAGAACACCAGUGGCGAAGGCGGCUCACUGGGCCAUUACUGACGCUGAGGCACGAAAGCGUGGGGAGCA
rnacentral:rRNA from 1 species